rnacentral:lncRNA from 1 species
AUGAAGCCCAGUAGUCAAAAAAUGCGCCUGGCAGAAAAAAAAACCCUAAACACAGGGACGAACUGAUCUUCUCUUAAACUGAGGGACUUUAAUUUUCCGGUAAAUUGCUCAUAAAAACAUUUAUAAUUAUAUGCUUUAAAAAUGUAAUAUAAUAAUUUUAGAAAAUGCAUUUCAUGAUAGUUAUGAUAACCUUUUUCUGUUCUUCCCCCCCCCUUCUUUCUUAAAAAGAAUUGAAUUAUUAAUCUAGAAUUCAAGUCUUGAGUGGCUAAAACAUUUAUAGCAGACUCUUUUUAUGUUAGUCACCUGCUGGAAUUUUCCAAAACCUACAGGCAUGAUGUGGAGCCCUUGACUUUAGAAAAUGUCUCUUGUUUCUGAAACUGAAGCUCGGAUGAAGCCUGCACUGAUACCCCCUCAGGAUGAGACCCUUCUGCUUGUGUGUUUGAGGCAGCAGAGGCUGGAGUGCACAGCACAUGCCCCUCAUUCCACACAGACUCCUGAAGUGGGACACAAGGAGGCCUGAGAAUGGGAACGGUGAUAACCAGGCCUCCUGAUGACAGUGGUCUGAGGAGUUUGAUGACAGCUGAAUCUCUUUGGAAGCAAACUGAAUACUCUAUGGACCUGACCUUUGGAAUGCCAGUAAGACCAGCCCUUGGCCAAUCUUCUUGUCACUUCUGAGUUAAGAUGUACUUUUUCUCCAGAUUCAUUGUGGUGGUUGUUUCCCCACCCCUGUAGGAGCUUGUAGUGUAAUGUUAGAAGGACAGAUUGAAUUGGGUGUUACUGAAAAUUCUCUUGGUGUGGUGUGGACUCUCUGGGCUACUUUUUUUGAGAGUACUUUCCCUUUCCCCUCCAUCUUCCUAGUCCACUUGAUGAAUUAUUAUUAUUAUUAUUAUUAUUAUUUUAAGUUUUUGUACGUACUUCUGCAUCUGAGAAAGAAAAAAUACCUAACUGCAUUUCAGGCAUCUGGGAAAAGAGAUGUCAUGUAACUGCCCUGUGUGUGUAUGGUAUGUGUGUGGGGGGGUAUAAUUAUAUAUCCUAAUAGGAUAUCUGCUGUCCACCCUCUUUGUCUUCCAUGAGCCAUGUACAGGGACUUUGAGGUCAGCAUCAUCCAUUCCCUCAUGGAGACUCCUGACCCAUUGAUCCCAGAUUAGUGAUAAAUUCCUCCAGAGCAAGAAGUCCUUUUGAAAGGCCUUCAGUGGUUGGAGCAAACACUAACUUAGACUGUACAAUCCUUUCUGAAUGUGGAGAUUGUAUUCCUUGGUCAGAAUUCAGGAAUAGUCUGCUCUUUCUCUUUUCCUCUCCCCCCCCCCAUCACUUUUUUACAUUUACCUUUUGUAUCUAAUUCACAAUAGGAAGGGUUGCUUUGGAAUUAAGCUGUUAAAUGUUUCACCCAUCUUUGUAGGCUGCUAAAAAAUAAAAUUGUAUCAUUUUGAAUUAAUGCUUUAAAAAUCCCAAAUAAUCAGCAUUCAAGUGUUGAUUAAUAUUCAGUAAACCAUGAUUUUUCUGUAAG